GGGGCUGAUUCUGGAUUCGACGGGAUUUGCGAAACCCAAGGUGCAUGCCGAGGGGCGGUUGGCCUCGUAAAAAGCCGCAAAAAAAUAGUCGCAAACGACGAAACCUACGCUUUAGCAGCUUAAUAACCUGCUUAGAGCCCUCUCUCCCUAGCCUCCGCUCUUAGGACGGGGAUCAAGAGAGGUCAAACCCAAAAGAGAUCGCGCGGAUGCCCUGCCUGGGGUUGAAGCGUUAAAACGAAUCAGGCUAGUCUGGUAGUGGCGUGUCCGUCCGCAGGUGCCAGGCGAAUGUAAAGACUGACUAAGCAUGUAGUACCGAGG
rnacentral:tmRNA from 1 species